UGAAUUUUUUUUACUUAUCCUUGCUCUUGGAGUGUGUGGUUUCUUGUGAACUGCUAUGAAUUUGAUUUGAUUCUCAAUCACAUUUGAGAUUUUAACCUGUUGACUGUAUGGAACUUCAAUAAGAUUUUGAAUCAGCACAUGCUUUUUUACUGGUAUUUUAUCCAUGAAAAUCUUUCAUGCCCAGUCAAGUCAUGUUGCUGAUUUCUAUUUGAGUAUGCUUGUAAAAGGAAGUAAAACAAAAGAGUUGUCAUAUCUUGCUUUGCCUUCUGUAUCGAUUAUCCUCUAGCUGGUGCAUACUUGGAUUGACCUAUAAAAAAUGCUUUUGCAUCUGAUAGUUUAGCUUACCUUUUGCUACAGGGCUCCACAAAUGUUGGGAAAUCAGCUUUUAUCGGUGCUUAACUGAGUAAAACUGAUGGCGGAAAAGGAUCCAGUUGCUGCAUCAGCGCAAAAGUACAAACCAAUACAGUCUGCUGUCCCUGGAACGACCCUGGGUUCAAUUCAACUCAACGCUUUCCUAGGAGGAGGGAAAUUAUACGACACACCUGGAGUUCAUCUCCAUCAUAGGCAAGCCGCUGUGGUUCAUUCAGAAGACCUACCUUCCCUUGCUCCUCAAAGUCGGCUUAGGGGUCAAUCUUUGCCUAAUUCUCAGGUUUCUGGAAGUGGAACAACAAGGCAAGGCAAUUCCAAUGAUUUGAAUGGCUAUUUAAUAUUCUGGGGAGGUCUUCUCAGAGUAGAUGUCUUAAAGGUUCUCCCUGAGACAUGUUUAACAUUUUAUGGGCCAAAGAGUCUUCAGAUUCAUAUGGUACCAACUGAUGAGGCUGAUGAAUUUUACCAGAAACACGUUGGAGUCUUACUGACACCUCCAACUGGGAAAGAAAGAGCAGAUGAAUGGAGAGGUCUCGACUCUCAGCGUCAAUUGCAAAUAAAAGUUGAAGAUGUGCAAAGGCCAGCAUGUGAUGCGGCUAUAUCAGGCUUAGGUUGGACUAGUAUUGAACCUAUUUGCAGAUUAUUAAGAAGUUCUGAUUCAAAUGCAGAAAAAACUGCAGGGAACUGCAUUUAGCUGUGCAUGUUCCCAAGCUAGUCGAAAUAUUUGUUAGGUCUCCAAUCCCAGUGGGUAAGUCUGGAGCAGUGUGGUAUCAGUACCGGGAGUUGACCGAAAAGGAAGAGGAAGAAAGACCAAAAUGGCAUUAUUGAUUCUUGUGUAUGUAGAGAAAUAUGCAGUCAUUUAGUGUUGUAAAAGAGAAACUGAGGUGAGUAGAUAUUCAUACAUACAGACUAUAGAAACAUGUACAAUGCCGAGUGUACCAUGUUGUACUGAACCAGUCUGUCUAAGAAAAAGAAGUUUUGACUCUUCUAUAUCGUAGAAAUUGCUUCAGUUAAACACCAGUUUUACAAUAGGAACCAACUGCAGAGAUUUUUCUAAGAAAACAAGAAAUUGUUCGAAAUCAUGAUAUCCAUAU